CACAAGGGAGGAAGCUCAUUUGCGACAAUGCUUCAAAUUAUUGUUGUAAAAUUUUUCUAAGACUUUCACUUACUUUGUGACCUGAAUAAAUCUGUUCCCACUUGAAUUAUCUCUUCAAUGACAUAUAUUUAUUACCUUAAGUAACCUCUAUAACUAUUGUAAUCCUUAAAACAAACUCGACAUUUCUGAAAUAGAACGAAUCGAGGCCCUAAAUUUGAAAAUGAAAGUACUAAAGCGUCACCUACCGGAAAA
rnacentral:lncRNA from 1 species